rnacentral:rRNA from 1 species
CGAGGCAAGCGCUGAAUACUAAGUGGAUAACUAACCAGUAAGACUACGAGGGAUAAGCUUCAUAGUCAAGAGGGAAACAGCCCAGACCACCAGCUAAGGCCCCUAAAUAAUUGCUAAGUGAUAAAGGUGGUGGAAAGGCUUUAACAACCAGGAGGUUUGCUUAGAAGCAGCAAUCCUUUAAAGAGUGCGUAAUAGCUCACUGAUCGAGUAAACCUGCGCCGAAAAUGUACGGGACUAAGUAAUUUGCCGAAACUGUGCGAUAUAUUUGAAAUAUAUCGGUAGGGGAGCGUUCUGUUGUAGAUUGAAGUAUUAGCGUAAGCGGAUAUGGACGAAGCAGAAGUGAGAAUGUCGGCUUGAGUAACGAAAAUAUAGGUGAGAAUCCUAUACCCCGAAAACCCAAGGUUUCCUCCGGAAGGUUCGUCCGCGGAGGGUAAGUCAGGACCUAAGGCGAGGCUGAAAAGCGUAGUCGAUGGACAACGGGUUAAUAUUCCCGUACCAUUAUUUGUUGAUAUCGAGGGACGGAGAAGGCUAAGCUGGCCGGAUAUUGGUUACCGGUUUAAACGUUCGAGAUGAUGAGAAACGGCGAAAACGUUUUGAGUUGAGGCGUGAAUACGAGAUGCUACGGCGUCGAAGCUGUGUAUGUCAUACUUCCAAGAAAAGCUUGCACUGUCAUAAACAAAUAAUGCCUGUACCAUAACCGACACAGGUGGGUAGGUAGAGUAUACUAAGGGGCGCGAGAUAACUCUCUCUAAGGAACUCGGCAAAAUGACUCCGUAACUUCGGGAGAAGGAGUGCCUUAUUUAUAAGGUUGCAAUAACAAGACCCAAGCAACUGUUUAUCAAAAACACAGGUCUCCGCUAAGUCGUAAGACGAUGUAUGGGGGCUGACGCCUGCCCAGUGCCAGAAGGUUAAAGAAGUUGGUUAGCGUAAGCGAAGCUGAUGACUGAAGCCCUGGUGAACGGCGGCCGUAACUAUAACGGUCCUAAGGUAGCGAAAUUCCUUGUCGGGUAAGUUCCGACCCGCACGAAAGGCGUAAUGAUUUGGGUACUGUCUCGGAGAGGGGCUCGGUGAAAUAGACUUGUCUGUGAAGAUGCGGACUACCUGCACCUGGACAGAAAGACCCUAUGAAGCUUUACUGUAACCUGAAAUUGAAAUUGGACUUUAUUUGCGCAGUAUAGGUGGGA